AUGCCGCAGGUGAUGGCUAUUCCCCUCCUGAGGAUGCACCAGUCGGGGAGGAGACCCUUGCUCAUGGAAUUACUGCGGCUAAGGAGGACACCGACUGAGACCACUCCAGCACUCACCACGUGUGCCCAGGCCCGGGGCUGCGAGGGACACGGAGACAUCAAGACAUGGCCCCAGCCUCCAGGAGUGUGUGGUCUAGGGGGAGAGAAGAGACCCUAAACACACCAGCAGCACAAGGGUGGUGGGAGCACCGGGGGGCCUAACAAGCAGGAACAGCGAUGUGCAC
rnacentral:lncRNA from 1 species